UACAGAGGUCUCAAGCGUUGUUCGGAUUCAUUGGGCGUAAAGGGUGCGUAGGUGGCGGGGCAAGUCUGGUGUGAAAUCUCGGAGCUCAACUCCGAAACUGCACUGGAUACUGCCUUGCUCGAGUACUGGAGAGGAGAUUGGAAUUUACGGUGUAGCAGUGAAAUGCGUAGAUAUCGUAAGGAAGACCAGUGGCGAAGGCGAAUCUCUGGACAGUUACUGACACUGAGGCACGAAGGCCAGGGGAGCAAACGGG
rnacentral:rRNA from 1 species